rnacentral:rRNA from 1 species
GACGAACGCUGGCGGCGUGCUUAACACAUGCAAGUCGAACGGUGAAGGGACCGGUUUUUGCUGGUUCUGGAUGAGUGGCGAACGGGUGAGUAACACGUGAGUAACCUGCCCCCUUCUUCUGGAUAACCGCAUGAAAGUGUGGCUAAUACGGGAUAUUCUGCGCCUGCUGCAUGGGGGGGGGGGGAAGGAUAUGGUUUCGGGGGGGGUUGGGCUGGCGGCCUAUCAGCUUGUUGGUGGGGUGAUGGCCUACCAAGGCGGUGACGGGUAGCCGGCCUGAGAGGGUGGACGGUCACACUGGGACUGAGACACGGCCCAGACUCCUACGGGAGGCAGCAGUGGGGAAUAUUGCACAAUGGGCGCAAGCCUGAUGCAGCGACGCCGCGUGAGGGAUCGAGGCCUUCGGGUUGUAAACCUCUUUCGCCAGUGAAGCAGGCCUGUCCCUUUUGUGGGUGGGUUGACGGUAGCUGGAUAAGAAGCGCCGGCUAACUACGUG